rnacentral:rRNA from 1 species
GAUGAACGCUGGCGGCGUGCUUAACACAUGCAAGUCGAACGAAGCACUCUAUUUGAUUUUCUUCGGAAAUGAAGAUUUUGUGACUGAGUGGCGGACGGGUGAGUAACGCGUGGGUAACCUGCCUCAUACAGGGGGAUAACAGUUGGAAACGACUGCUAAUACCGCAUAAGCGCACAGGAUUGCAUGAUCCGGUGUGAAAAACUCCGGUGGUAUGAGAUGGACCCGCGUCUGAUUAGCCAGUUGGCAGGGUAACGGCCUACCAAAGCGACGAUCAGUAGCCGACCUGAGAGGGUGACCGGCCACAUUGGGACUGAGACACGGCCCAAACUCCUACGGGAGGCAGCAGUGGGGAAUAUUGCACAAUGGGGGAAACCCUGAUGCAGCGACGCCGCGUGAGCGAAGAAGUAUUUCGGUAUGUAAAGCUCUAUCAGCAGGGAAGAAGAAUGACGGUACCUGACUAAGAAGCACCG